GCAGCCUUUGUUCCAGCAUGUUGUCGGGAGGCAGCAUCCGACAUUAACUGGGCUUGGAAUCUGCUCCUGUAGGAAGUGCAUCCUCCAUGGAGGAACUGAGAGGGCCACUGGUGGAGAAGCUGGUGGCUCAUACAUUCCAGGCUGUGCUAGCGGUUCGGCCAGUGACACUCCAAGGUUUCUUGUGAGGAACCACUCUGGCUCUUUCAAGAAUGGGGAGUUCUUGAAUUCUCUCCCGCUUUCCAGGGAGCUCUCAGCCACAGUGAUUGCUCAGCACCCCUACCCCUGCCCUCCACCCAGCUCCCAGGAAGUCAACAUGCCCGAGUGCUGUGAACGUUAUGAGAGGGCCUUGUUGGGAACACGUGCUCCUGGGAAUCAGCCCUUCCCUCUGUCCUGUUCCCACUCCUCCCCGACGAUGCUCCUGCUCAGAACCCACUCCUCACCUCAGUGAAGCAACGCAGCGGGCACCCUGUGGACAAAGCUGGAUAUUGGCUCUGAAUAAAAGCGAAUCAUGGGGAAAAUCAGUGUCUCAGUAAAAUGGGGUUUUCUUAGUAGAGACCAGACUGUGAAGGACCUUGCUUCAUUCCAUCUUUGAGGAGGAUGAUGAUUCAGGGACAUUGGCCCAAGAUCAAAGUGGUAUUUUUAGGUUGUAUUUACUUAGCUAUUUGCCGUCUACCUCCUUAUUUCCAGGUAGCAACUUCCUUCUUAUAUCUGAGAUGUUUAAGAGAUGAUGAAACCAGCUUGCACACACUUCUCAAAGUGUGUUUGUUCGCAUCCAUUAUUUCACUGGGGACCGGCUAUUAUCCUCUCCAUUUUCUUUAUAAGGAUAUUGAAAGAGAGAUUAAAUAACUUGUUCAAGGCCGCAUAGCUAGUUAACAGCUGAACUAGGCUUAAAACCAACGUCUGAAGGCUCCUAUUCCAGUGGCAGCUGCUGUGUGCUUCUUCUGUUUUCCAUCAGUUUGGAAGGGAGCAUAAAGUCUACAGCCACAUGGGUGGGGUCAGCAGAAAGAUUGACCACCAAGCCUGAGGCAGGUGAGGCUGAUCUCCUGGGCACAGCCUCUCUGCACAGGAGUUCACAGAAGUGAUAUGAUCCAAAGUUGCUGAGGGAAAAGCCCUUAUUUGUGGAAUUAACGGCAGGUCUCUCUUGAGGUCAGAAUGAAUGUUAUUGACAUUAUUGUUUGUAUUGUGGUAAGGUAUACAUAAUGGAAAAUGUACCAUUUUGGCUGGACAUGGUGGCUCACGCCUGUAAU
rnacentral:lncRNA from 10 species